rnacentral:tRNA from 1 species
GUUUCCAUAGCUCAGUGGUUAGAGCAUCCAACCGGUACCUGGAAAUUAGGUCAUGGCUUCCACUCCCCGCUGGGGACU